CUCACCAUGGCAACAGCACAACAAAAGACGGCCGGAAAUGGAUAUGACCUCAAGCAAAUAGCGACUACGAGUCUAUAUUCGGUAGAAAAAGCAACUUCGCGUAAGUUUACAUUUUAAUCAUACAGUGUUCAGCGUAACUAAAUCCUAAAUAAUUUUAGUAUUGUUGUUAUAUUUCACUCGUAAAGUAAGGACUUGUAAAGUAAUUUUUCACUCAUCUAAGGCGUUACUUCAGUAAUUGCAUAAAAUACCGAUGUUUGUAUGAAUUAAAAGUGCAGUGUUAUGUCUAUGCGUUUUUAAAAUUCCUGUUGUGGUUGAUGUGGGAUUUGUAAAGUAAUGAUAAUUCAAUAAUCCAAUACGUUUUAUGGAGAGCAAUUAUUACAUUAAUCUAAUUAGGUUUUUAAAAGUUACCCAAAACACGUAAUAAUAUUACGUUUAAUUUCAAUUUUUAUGUAGGCGCAAUCCUGCAGGCAUAAAAGAACGUGGCUAAAAAUUAAAUGUAAAAACAUACUUCAAACAGGUAUAAGGCACCAUCAUGUCAUGGGUGUAGACCACCUGACUUUACAACAUUUGACAUAUUAAAUAACUAAAUAGCAUGCAGAGUAUAGCAGUGCAGCAGCAUUUUCAACAUGGCUGUAAUGUUUUCACACAGUUAAAUCAUUUGACUUCUACUCAGCCAACAGAAAGAAGGCAGAGGCUAGAACAACUGGUGGAGGACCUGCACCUCCACCUCUGACGCAUGCAGAGGAGAAGGCCCUCAGCAUGAACACUAGAAAGCAGAGGCUGAAGGAAUUCCUGGAGGGAGUUCAUCAGAACCAGUCACUCCCCAGGAUACAAGUGCAUGUGUAAAAUAUUCUGAUGGUAAUAUGUGAAUCCUCCUGUCACAACAGAAACCCAGGAUGUUAGUGUGGAAGAACAGCAGGAGGAGGGUCUGUCACAUUCUGCUGCACAGAUGCACACAGUUCAGUGAUGUUCAGUAAAUGCCAGAGUUCAAUUCUGUUAGAGUAAUGAGGAACUAUGUCAUGUAACUCUAAAUCCUCUGUAUUUUAAGUUACCGGUUAUUGAGUUGUAUAAACUAAAUCUCAAGGAAAUGUUAUACUUUAGAAAAGACAGAUCUAGAAAAUUGAAAUUCCCAAACACAAGCUGGAGAUGAGUGUAUAGUUAAAGGUGAAUUGUAUGAAUUAUUGGAAGAAUCAUAAAAUCUAACAAUUGCCUUUGUAUU